GACGAACGCUGGCGGCGUGCUUAACUCAUGCAAGUCGAACGGAAAGGCCCUGCUUUUGUGGGGUGCUCGAGUGGCGAACGGGUGAGUAACACGUGAGUAACCUGCCCUUGACUUUGGGAUAACUUCAGGAAACUGGGGCUAAUACCGGAUAGGAGCUCCUGCUGCAUGGUGGGGGUUGGAAAGUUUCGGCGGUUGGGGAUGGACUCGCGGCUUAUCAGCUUGUUGGUGGGGUAGUGGCUUACCAAGGCUUUGACGGGUAGCCGGCCUGAGAGGGUGACCGGCCACAUUGGGACUGAGAUACGGCCCAGACUCCUACGGGAGGCAGCAGUGGGGAAUAUUGCACAAUGGGCGGAAGCCUGAUGCAGCAACGCCGCGUGCGGGAUGACGGCCUUCGGGUUGUAAACCGCCUUCGCCUGUGACGAAGCGUGAGUGACGGUAAUGGGUAAAGAAGCACCGGCUAACUACGUG
rnacentral:rRNA from 1 species